UGAGUAACGCGUGGGUAACCUGCCUUAUACAGGGGGAUAACAGUCAGAAAUGGCUGCUAAUACCGCAUAAGCGCACAGAGCUGCAUGGCUCAGUGUGAAAAACUCCGGUGGUAUAAGAUGGACCCGCGUUGGAUUAGCUUGUUGGUGGGGUAACGGCCCACCAAGGCGACGAUCCAUAGCCGGCCUGAGAGGGUGGACGGCCACAUUGGGACUGAGACACGGCCCAGACUCCUACGGGAGGCAGCAUG
rnacentral:rRNA from 1 species